CUCAUCACACUGCGAAUGAAGCGGUAUCGGCUGGGUGCCGCGAAGAGUCGGAGGAGGUACUCCACCGUGAAGAUCAUGACACAGGCGGUGUCCAGGCAGAAGAAGGCCACGGAGUAGCGCUCUCCACAUGGCAGCUCCUUGCUCCCAGGAACCGUGCCGCAUGGCACCGUCUCCACCACGUUGGUGAUGACCGAGACGGCAAUGAAGAAGCCAGUCACGUAAUAGAAGACCAGGGCCAGGGUGCUGGUGUGUGGGUUCUCGAAGGCCCGCCACAUGGUCUGGCGGAAGCUGAGUGAGGGCAUGGACUCCUGGUUAUUCUCAGAGUCAUUGUCGUCCAUGAGCCGCUCCGCGUUCUCCCGCUUGCGAUCUUUGUACUCCUCGUAGCAGCAGUCUCCAAUGAUCUCAGGGUAAUCAGGAAUUGGGGUGCCAAUGAAGGAGAUCAAGAAUGCUGCUUCACCUGCUUCCUAACUCUCAGCUCUUCGGAUUCGUUUACUCUUGAGCUGCUACUGGACUUUUCUACCUGGAUGCCUCUGAAACAGAGAAGCCUACACUAUCUCCAUCCAGAGUGUUGUUCUUCACCUUCUGCCCACAGCAUCCCUCACCCUAGGUCCCUUACCCUGACCAUGUUUUUUAUACUCUAUCCCAAGGAUUGCCAAAUAAUGAAAUGCCAUGAAAGACUGGUUCCCUUGUUCCUCCCUCCCUUGUUCCUGGAAUUCUUGUCUCACUCUUCUCCCCCUCACCACCCCUAGAUUCCUCUCAUUACCUUGAAAUUCAUUCUACUCAGAGUAAUCUCCUUAAAGCAAGGUUCUGAUUGUGCUAUACUCUGUAGCCUUUGAAAUAAAACCUUAACUCCUUG